UACGGAGACUGCAAGCGUUACUCGGAUUCACUGGGCGUAAAGGGAGCGCAGGCGGACUCGUGUGUCGGAUGUGAAACCCGGGGGCUCAACUCCCGGACUGCGUCUGAAACUGCGAUUCUAGGGACUCGGAGGGGCUAGUGGAAUUCUUGGUGGAGCAGUGAAAUGCGUAGAUAUCAAGAGGAACACCAACGGCGAAGGCAGCUAGCUGGACGAGAUCCGACGCUCAGGCUCGAAAGUAUGGGGAGCAAAAAGG
rnacentral:rRNA from 1 species